AUAUUAAUAAGCGGAGGAAAAGAAACUAACCAGGAUUCCCUCAGUAGCGGCGAGCGAAGCGGGAACAGCUCAAAUUUGAAAUCUGGCUUCCUCGAUUCGGGAAGCCCGAAUUGUAGUUUUGUGAAGGCGAGUCACUGGCGGAGGGGCGGCGUAGAAAUCUCUCUGGAACGAGGUGUCACAGAGGGUGAGAGCCCCGUACGUGACGCGGCCCUUGCUCCGUCGACACGUGUCUCUCCUUCGAAGAGUCGGGCUGUUUGGGAAUGCAGCCCUAAACGGGAGGUAAAUUUCUUCUAAAGCUAAAUACGGGCGAGAGACCGAUAGCGAACAAGUACCGUGAGG
rnacentral:rRNA from 1 species